rnacentral:rRNA from 1 species
GCAACCCGGUAGUAAAGUGGCAAACGGGUGAGGAAUGCAUGGGUAACCUGCCCUUGAGAAGGGAAUAACCCGCCGAAAGGCGAGCUAAUACCCUAUACGCAUUUCUCCCUUUGGGGAGUUAUGGAAAGUCAAGCCGUGGGUUUGGCACUCAAGGAUGGGCUCAUGCCCUAUCAGCUUGUUGGUGGGGUAACGGCCUACCAAGGCAACGACGGGUAGCUGGUCUGAGAGGAUGAUCAGCCACACUGGCACUGAGAUACGGGCCAGACUCCUACGGGAGGCAGCAGUGAGGAAUAUUGCGCAAUGGGCGAAAGCCUGACGCAGCGACGCCGCGUGGGGGAUGAAGGUUUUCGGAUUGUAAACCCCUUUUAUGAGGAAAGAUAAAGCAGGUAACUGCCUAGACGGUACCUCAAGAAAAAGCCACGGCUAACUUCGUGCCAGCAGCCGCGGUAAUACGAAGGUGGCGAGCGUUGUUCGGAUUUACUGGGCGUAAAGAGCACGUAGGCGGUUGGGUAAGCCUCUUGGGAAAGCUCCCGGCUUAACCGGGAAAGGUCGAGGGGAACUACUCAGCUAGAGGACGGGAGAGGAGCGCGGAAUUCCCGGUGUAGCGGUGAAAUGCGUAGAUAUCGGGAA